rnacentral:lncRNA from 1 species
AAAAAAGCCGUCUCCAUGGAAGCGGCCCUUCCGCUCGGAGCCCGGCGGCCUGGAGGGAGACCCGGCGGGGAUGCGAGGAUUCCGCCCCAGCCCCAGAGGACGCGGCGGAGAGCCUGGAGGAGGCGCUUUGAGAGUCGAGGUCUCCCGCCCGCGCGCCUCCCUGGCGCAGACCUCUUUUAACUUUUUGGCGUGGAGUGCGCGUCCUGACGUGCCCCCUGAGCUACAGCUUACUGAGCUUUACUGGCUUCGCCGGACAGCCGUCCCCAGGUGGAGAGACAGCGCGUCGCGCGCUGCCCGGGCCCCGCAGGGCCUGGCGCCUGGGGCCCUUGCGCCGCUUUGGGGCGAGGGGAUCACACCGCGGGCUCCCGGAGCUUAGCGUCUUCCACGCGGCGCUGUGUGUCAUCCACGCAGUGUGCUCUCGCUGCCGUGUUCAGGUCACUGCGAGGGUGAGCCCCGCUUUAUCUACCCCUUCUGCUGUUGAUGGGCACUCGUCUGGGGCUAGAAGGGAUAAGGUUGCUGUGAGCGUUCUCGUGUGUUUUUGGUGCACGCGCACACACAUUUCUCUGGGGUGCAGACCUGUCUAGUAGUGGAACUGCCGUUUCCCAGCACUUUGGAGCAAAGCCCUGUUGCAGUCUGAAGCGGAAAAGGCAGACGGGCCUUCCAUGUUCGUGAUUCCAGCCAGGCACAGAAGGGAAGGACAGGGACAGCAGCCGCGCGGAGGCGAGGAGGGACACUGGGCGCUGCUGUCCCCUCUCAGGGGCAGCCACUCCUCUUGUGGACGCAGGUGUGGUCACCAGAAGGGAAGGACAGCAGAGGACUCUUCAGGGACCUUCCUGGAUCCCCCUGCAAUGGGAGUGGCCUACUUGCUUGACUUGAGGGUGAGACUUGGUCAGCCCUUGACUGUAGGGGGCAGGACCAUGGGCUUCAGUGGGGCAGCACCCAUGACCCACGCCUCUGCUUCCAUUCCCUGCUUACUGCCCGGGCCUCUGGGCAGGGGAGUCUAGUCUCCCUUCCCAGGCUUCCAAUGCCUCGCCCCCUGCUGUGGUAAGGAUUCGCGCUGGUCCCUAUUUAUUAAUCAGGGAACUUGGGGUUCCAGUUUUCUCCCCUUCUCUGCAUCUCAUCCCCUUGAGAGCCCCCUGGAGCAGAGGAUAACGCACGAGGGGACUGGCUGUGUAUAUUUUGAUAACAAUAUCAAAAUACUGUCAAAUACUAAACGGAAAAGAAAUAGGAAAACAUUGAACUUUAUUAAAAUGAACUUCAAAAGACACCAUUAAGAGUAAAAAGAUGACUCACAAAAAAGUUGCCUUUUGUUCAGUAAACGACUCAGGACCAGAAAAUAUGAAGACCCCUACAACAAGAAAAAUAUAGAUAGCUCAGUUAAAAAUUGACAAAAGACUUGAAAAGAUAUUUCACAAAAGGAGAGAUCCAGACAGUCAAUCCACACACGAAAGGGUACUUAGCAUCAGGGAACUGCAAAUAGUGACAUUCGAUUCCAUAUCACAGCCACUGGAUGGCUAAAAUAGCAACGCCAAGUGCUGAUGAGACUGUGGAACAACCAGCUGGGCUCUCAUACCCUGCUGAUGGGAGAGUGGAUUGGAGCAACCACGUGGAAACAUCUAAUGGAGGUAAGCAAACGCCUGCCAUAGGAACCAGCGUGUAUAUCCAAGGGAACCGAGUGCUAGGUUCCUGAUCAUGGUCAAGAUCGCCUACAGCAAAUUUACUUAUUUAUUUUAAUCCCCCAACAAAUGUCUUUAAUGUCUUUAGAAAGAUUAAUUAAAUGGUAGUAUUUUAAGAAUGCAAUGGUAUACUGCACAGCAACAAAAAAAUAACAAACUGCUAAUACUUGCAGCAACAUGGAUAAAUCUCAAAGUAUUGAAUGCAAAGCUACAAUAGAGUGCAUAACUAAGGAUUCCAUUAUAUAAAAUACAAAAUCCAGGCAAGACUGAUCUACAGUGUUAGAGGUCAGGAGAGAAUUUUGGAGGUAGUUGCUUGGGCACCGGGAUACUGCGUGGGGAGCUGUGAGUGCUGCAUAUCUUUAGCUGCGUCCUGCUUGGAGUGCAUACUCUGUGAAAAUUCAUCAACCUGUGCACUUAAGACUUGUGUACUUACAUUAUCUUUCAGGAAAAAGAAAAGAAAAGUAUGCCAAACUUUACCCUUCACCUUUCUUCUCAAAAUGGUCAGGUUUCAGAGCUGUGGUAGAAACUUCUAGUACUGACAACAGCCAGUACCUCCCCGCUUGGCAGCUGAGACUAUGGGACCAGUUCUGGCCAAUGGAAUGUGAGGGGAAAUGACGGAUGUCAAUUCCAGGCUGAAGCUUUUAGUUGCCAGAGCCAGGUCCUCCAGUCCUACCUUUCCACUGUGGCAGUCCCUCUGAAGUCCCAAGAUCAAGAGCUGACAGCUGAAUCCUUGCAUGGAGAGUCGCCUGGACCUGCAGUGGACUCUGGAUGAGGGAGUAUACACCCCUCUCCUGAGAUGGCAAACAGGAGGUCUGGAUCAAUCCUACAGUGUCGGCAAAUGUCUGGAUUACCCUGCAAGGAAAGGGAGGCAUGACAGCUCCACAUCUGUGUUCACCCUUGUGGAUCCCAGACUCAGUCUGCCUGCACCCAGGUGAUUAAAAA